rnacentral:rRNA from 1 species
GAAUUUUCCCUUAGUGGCAAACGGGUGAGUAACACGUGGGUUACCUGCCUCAAAGCUGGGGAUAACGUUUGGAAACGAACGCUAAUACCGAAUGUGCUCUACGGAGUAAAGAAGCCCUUAAAGCUUCACUUUGAGAUGGGCCUGCGGCGCAUUAGCUAGUUGGUGGGGUAAUGGCCUACCAAGGCAACGAUGCGUAGCCGAACUGAGAGGUUGAUCGGCCACACUGGGACUGAGACACGGCCCAGACUCCUACGGGAGACAGCAGUUAGGAAUAUUCGUCAAUGGGGGAAACCCUGAACGAGCAAUGCCGCGUGAACGAUGAAGGCCCUCUGGGUUGUAAAGUUCUGUUGUUAUGGAAGAACUGUAAGAUUAGGAAAUGAAUCUUACUUGACGGUACAUUUCAAGAAAGCCACGGCUAACUACGUGCCAGCAGCCGCGGUAAUACGUAGGUGGCGAGCGUUAUCCGGAUUUAUUGGGCGUAAAGCGUCCGCAGACGGUUUAUUAAGUAUAUAAUUAAAGCCCGAAGCUUAACUUCGGUUCGUUAUAUAAACUGGUAGACUUGAGUACAGUAGAGGCAAGUGGAAUUUCUAGUGUAGCGGUAAAAUGCGUAGAUAUUAGAAGGAACACCAGU